UACAGAGGUCUCAAGCGUUGUUCGGAUUCAUUGGGCGUAAAGGGUGCGUAGGCGGCGCGGUAAGUCGGGUGUGAAAUCUUGGAGCUUAACUCCGAAACUGCAUUCGAUACUGCCGUGCUUGAGGACUGGAGAGGAGACUGGAAUUUACGGUGUAGUGGUGAAAUGCGUAGAGAUCCGGAGGAACCCCAGAGGCGAAGGCGGCGCCCUAGCUCGGGUUCUGACGCUCAGACACGAAAAGCAUGGGGAGCGAACGGG
rnacentral:rRNA from 1 species